rnacentral:lncRNA from 1 species
CCAGACUAUAAAUUGGGACAGCUGAGCUUGCAGAAUCCAGACAACCAAACUCCAUCAAUCAAGAGGAACUUAAUCCAGGGAGGGUUCUUCUGCUCACUGGGUCAGAAGCAUCCGAUUUCCUGUCAUCGGUUGCGGUUCAGCCAUGUUAAUACUGAAAGUAUAAGAAUAUCAUAAUCCCAGAGUGAUAUAAAGACCUUUCCAAGGAAGAUGAGAUACCCGGAGGCUGUGAAGGAGAAGUCUGAAGGAUUUGAACGCGUUCAAAUGAAAACCUUUGGUUCAGCAAAACACCAGAAACAAAUUCAAAAGAUAAAAUACACUCCGGAGAAGCCCAUUCUCUCAACGCAUCUGACAGUUCACAAAGAGCAACUGCAGUCCAACUUAAAAAAUAAAGAAAAUGGUAGGAAAAUGGGCAACAUGCACUGAGGCAAUAUAUAAGAAGAAGGAAUGCGCAAUUAAUCAACAAAAGCCUGCUCUUUCCUAACGAGUGAAGAUACAAGCUUAGUAAAUAUUAAAAUUUAUUGAAGAUAAAAAUGGACACUUCCGGCCAUAUAUAAAAGCAUUGUUGCUACCAGUCACUAUACAUGUUGGAGCUCUCUUUAUUGUGCCAUAGAUCUCUGAUGUCAUGUCUUUAGUCAUUAUUUUGUGUCAGAAAUUUUUGUUCUUCCGGGGACAUCUGGCAAUAUCUAGAGACAUGCUACUGGCACCUAUAGAAAUGCUAGUGACUUAUUAUGGGUAGAGGCUAAAGAUGCUGCUAAAUAUCCUACAAUGCCCAGGACAGCCACUGCCACAACAAAGAAUUAUGCAGUCCACAAUGUCCAUAGUGCUAAGGAGAAGAAACCCUGUCCUAGGGUCAAGGUUGGAUGCUGACAAGACUAAUUUCAAGUGAUUUCAAACGAUUGUGGGGAAAAUACCCAGAAGUUGACAGGAGCAAUAUGUAGAUAUUUCCUUCUGUAAAUUAUAUUUCCCUAAUGCUAAUGCUGGAGCAUUUGGAAACACGUGUAUAAAUAUUUGAAGCACAAAACCAGAGAGAUGCUCUUAUGUAUUUAGCUUCUAGUUUUAAAUAAUAGAUACUACAAUAAACCUUGAUUAAACCUUGA